GCCUGGGUGGCUCAGUCGGUUGAGCAUCUGACUCUUGAUUUCAGCUCAGCUUAUGAUCUCAGGGUCAUGGGAUCGAGUCCCACACCGGGCU
rnacentral:tRNA from 1 species